GGAGCAAACAGGAUUAGAUACCCUGGUAGUCCACGCCGUAAACGAUGAGUGCUAGGUGUUAGGGGGCCCACCCCUUAGUGCCGAAGCUAACGCAUUAAGCACUCCGCCUGGGGAGUACGGUCGCAAGACUGAAACUCAAAGGAAUUGACGGGGGCCCGCACAAGCAGUGGAGCAUGUGGUUUAAUUCGAAGCAACGCGAAGAACCUUACCAAGACUUGACAUCCCGCUGACCGCUCUAGAGAUAGAGUUUCUCUUCGGAGCAGCGGUGACAGGUGGUGCAUGGUUGUCGUCAGCUCGUGUCGUGAGAUGUUGGGUUAAGUCCCGCAACGAGCGCAACCCCUAUGUUGUGUUGCUACCAUUUAGUUGAGCACUUACAACAGACUGCCGGUGACAAACCGGAGGAAGGCGGGGAUGACGUCAAAUCAUCAUGCCCCUUAUGUCUUGG
rnacentral:rRNA from 1 species